UCGACGGUGAGGGAUGAAAGCUGGGGGAGCAAACCGGAUUAGAUACCCGGGUAGUCCCAGCUGUAAACGAUGCAAACUCGAUGAUGCGUUGGCUUAUUGCUAGCGCAGUGUCGCAGGGAAGCCGUUAAGUUUGCCGCCUGGGAAGUACGUACGCAAGUAUGAAACUUAAAGGAAUUGGCGGGGGAGCACCACAAGGGGUGAAGCCUGCGGUUCAAUUGGAGUCAACGCCUGAAACCUUACCCGGAGAGACAGCAGAAUGAAGGUCAAGCUGAAGACUUUACCAGACAAGCUGAGAGGUGGUGCAUGGCCGUCGCCAGCUCGUGCCGUGAGAUGUCCUGUUAAGUCAGGUAACGAGCGAGAUCCCUGCCUCUAGUUGCCACCAUUACUCUCAGGAGUAGUGGGGCGAAUUAGCGGGACCGCCGCAGUUAAUGCGGAGGAAGGAAGGGGCCACGGCAGGUCAGUAUGCCCCGAAACUCUGGGGCCACACGCGGGCUGCAAUGGUAACGACAAUUGGUUUCGAAUCCGAAAGGAUGAGGUAAUCCUCAAACGUUACCACAGUUAUGACUGAGGGCUGCAACUCGCCCUCACGAAUAUGGAAUCCCUAGUAACUGCGUGUCAUUAUCGCGCGGUGAAUACGUCCCUGCUCCUUGCACUCACCGCCCGU
rnacentral:rRNA from 1 species